CCUACGGGUGACAGCAGUGGGGGAUAUUGCACAAUGGGGGAAACCCUGAUGCAGCGACGCCGCGUGGGCGAAGAAGUAUUUCGGUAUGUAAAGCCCUAUCAGCAGGGAAGAAGAAAUGACGGUACCUGCGUAAGAAGCACCGGCUAAAUACGUGCCAGCAGCCGCGGUAAUACGUAUGGUGCAAGCGUUAUCCGGAUUUACUGGGGGUAAAGGGAGCGCAGGCGGCACGGCAAGCCUGAUGUGAAAGCCCGCGGCCCAACCGCGGGACUGCAUUGGAAACUGCCGGGCUGGAGUGCGGGAGAGGUAGGCGGAAUUCCUAGUGUAGCGGUGAAAUGCGUAGAUAUUAGGAGGAACACCAGUGGCGAAGGCGGCCUACUGGACGGUGACUGACGCUGAGGCUCGAAAGCGUGGGGAGCAAACAGGAUUAGAUACCCCUGUAGUC
rnacentral:rRNA from 1 species